rnacentral:rRNA from 1 species
UGGCGAACGGGUGAGUAACACGUGAGUAACCUGCCCUUGACUUUGGGAUAACUUCAGGAAACUGGGGCUAAUACCGGAUAGGAGCUCCUGCUGCAUGGUGGGGGUUGGAAAGCUCCGGCGGUUGUGGAUGGACUCGCGGCCUAUCAGCUUGUUGGUGGGGUAGUGGCCUACCAAGGCGGCGACGGGUAGCCGGCCUGAGAGGGUGGCCGGCCACAUUGGGACUGAGAUACGGCCCAG